rnacentral:rRNA from 1 species
GACGAACGCUGGCGGCGUGCUUAACACAUGCAAGUCGAACGGAAAGGCCCUGCUUUUGUGGGGUGCUCGAGUGGCGAACGGGUGAGUAACACGUGAGUAACCUGCCCUUGACUUUGAGAUAACUUUAGGAAACUGGGGCUAAUACCGGAUAGGAGCUCCUGCUGCAUGGGGGGGGUUGGAAAGUUUCGGCGGUUGGGGAUGGACUCGCGGCUUAUCAGCUUGUUGGUGGGGUAGUGGCUUACCAAGGCUUUGACGGGUAGCCGGCCUGAGAGGGUGACCGGCCACCAUGGUACUGAGAUACGGCCCAGACGCCUACGGGAGGCAGCAGUGGGGAAUAUUGCACAAUGGGCGGAAGCCUGAUACAGCAACGCCGCGUGCGGGAUGACGGCCUUCGGGUUGUAAACAGCUUUCGCCUGUGACGAAGCGUUAGUGACGGUAAUGGGUAAAAAAGCACCGGCUAACUACGUG